rnacentral:rRNA from 1 species
AGACGUCUACAUUAGAUACCCCCGUAGUCCCAGCCGUAAACUAUGCGCGUUAGGUGUAUCGGUGACCACGAGUCACCGAGGUGCCGAAGGGAAACCGUGAAACGUGCCGCCUGGGAAGUACGGUCGCAAAGGCUGAAACUUAAAGGAAUUGGCGGGGGAGCACCACAACGGGUGGAGCCUUGCGGUUUAAUUGGACUCAACGCCGGGAAGCUCACCGGAUAAGACAGCGGAAUGAUUGCCGGGCUGAAGACUCUGCAUGACUAGCUG